UACGUAGGGGGCAAGCGUUGUCCGGAAUUAUUGGGCGUAAAGCGCGCGCAGGCGGUCGAUUAAGUUUGGUGUUUAAGGCUGAGGCUCAACCUCAGUUCGCACUGAAAACUGGUUGACUUGAGUACAGAAGAGGAAAGUGGAAUUCCACGUGUAGCGGUGAAAUGCGUAGAUAUGUGGAGGAACACCAGUGGCGAAGGCGGGUCUCUGGGCAACAACUGACGCUGAGGAGCGAAAGCGUGGGGAGCGAACAGG
rnacentral:rRNA from 1 species